CUGCUGAGUUUGCUGCUGCUAAAGGCUUUGAACCGUCUCCGUUAGUACCUUCAUUUGCUGCAUAAGUGCAGCAAUUUAUGCGUCUAUAGUAACUAUAGGACAUGAAAAACUGGGCUCUGCCACUAGAGAUGGGGGAGGAACAUCUUUUUGAGACUGCCUCGCUGAACCUAUUGAAUGCUGGGCUCUGAUUUUUUGCAUGGUUGAUUGUAUUCUCUCCCCUAUCUGGUGUGCCAAUUUGUUGUGGCCAAUCCCCUGUUGCACCCAUCGUCGGAGAAGAGCACCUGCAAAAGAAGUCCUCACU
rnacentral:lncRNA from 1 species